rnacentral:misc_RNA from 1 species
UCUCCGUAGGUGAACCUGCGGAGGGAUCACUACAGGCUUGCAAAAGCUCUGAAACCACUGUUUAUCUACCUGAAUCUGCUUCGGCGGGCGGCCCCAGGGCGGGGCCGUAGCCGCAAGGCGCCCGCCGAAGACCCCUAAACUCCGUCGUCUUGAGAAUCUCUGAGUAAUUAUAUUAAACAAAAAACAACUUUCAACAACGGAUCUCUUGGCUCCG